rnacentral:rRNA from 1 species
AUACGGAGGAUGCAAGCGUUAUCCGGAUUCAUUGGGUUUAAAGGGUGCGCAGGCGGAGAGAUAAGUCAGUGGUGAAAAACUGCCGCUCAACGGUAGUCUUGCCAUUGAUACUGUCUUUCUUGAGUAUGGAUGAGGUAGGCGGAAUGUGCAGUGUAGCGGUGAAAUGCAUAGAUAUUGCACGGAACACCAAUUGCGAAGGCAGCUUACUGGACCAUUACUGACGCUCAGGCACGAAAGCGUGGGGAUCAAACAGGAUUAGAUACCCUGGUAGUCCACGCAGUAAACGAUGUUCACUCGCUGUUUGCGAUAUACUGUAAGCGGCUUAGUUAAAGCAUUAAGUGAACCACCUGGGGAGUACGAUCGCAAGGUUGAAACUCAAAUGAAUUGACGGGG